AGCUUUUUGAAUUGUAGUAAAGGGUUGUGAACCAUUUCACUAUUGUGUCCCCAAAACCUAGAAAUUUCAAGGUUUCACAUAUAAAGUUCCACUCAAGAGAGUCGAAGGCUUUUUCAAAGUCCAACAAGACAAGCAAGCCAGGAAUAUCUUCGUCAUCUACUUUUUUCAAGAGGUCAUAUAUAAGUCUUGUACACUCACCAAUAUAUCUGCCUUUCAUAAAGCCAGUUUGAGUUUCACUAAUCAGGUGAUCAAGGACUUUUUUAAUUCUAUUUGCAAUACAUGUUGAUACUAUUUUAUAGUCUACAUUAAGUAGUGAAAUAGGUCGCCAAUUUUUUAGAAAAUGUUUUGGUUUACCAUCUUUGGG
rnacentral:lncRNA from 1 species